UACGUAGGCAGCGAGCGUUGUUCGGAGUUACUGGGCGUAAAGCGUGCGUAGGCGGUGUUCCAAGUCUGUUGUGAAAUCUCCCGGCUUAACCGGGAGGGUGCGGCGGAAACUGGAAUGCUGGAGUGCCGGAGAGGUAAGCGGAAUUCCUGGUGUAGCGGUGAAAUGCGUAGAUAUCAGGAGGAACACCUGCGGUGUAGACGGCUUACUGGACGGUAACUGACGCUGAGGCACGAAAGCGUGGGUAGCAAACAGG
rnacentral:rRNA from 1 species